CAAGCAGUGCGAACACAACUUGUUGACAGCUUGUGAACAGAUUUGUAACAACUUGUUUGCAGACCUGUAACAACUUGUGCGUUUUUACGUGUGUGUACCCAGUAAGUACGUAUACUUGACCAUGUGGUUUUCCCAAGAAAAUGUGGGACGAUUCUAGCCUCUUGACUUCGACAGGCAUCUUUUAGUUCACCUGCGUUGCUUGAGUUUAAAAAAAUGUUUUGCCUGCAACCAAAUUGUGCCUGCUAAUCUAGACUGCGUGGCAGGCCCUCAAUUUUAUGGGGGGCCUGAUUUGCAGCGGGCAGGAUUUUGGCGGGCUCACUGCUAAUCUAAAGGCGAUGCCUGCGGAGGAGGCUAGGACUAUAUAUUCCGUGAUUGGUCAAUCAAUCAUCUAUCUAUUAUCUUUCCUGUAAUAUAUAUGUCAGCUAUUUAUGUCCAUUUUCAGAUAUUCGAGAUUAAAUAUACAGUAAGUAUUCUCAUUCUAGGC